GCUUUAUCAUCGCAUUCGGUUAGGACGAUGUUAGUGAAAUAUUUGCCAAUUUUAAUAUUACUGAAAUGUUGUUCCGCGUACAAAAUCCUUUACGUAUCAGCGAUACCGAGUGUAAGUCAUGGGAUUCUGACGGAGGGCUUUGUAAGACACCUGUUGGAAGCGGGACAUGAGGUUACCAACCUGUCACCGUUCACAGUAAAUCAUACCUCAGGAAAUCUUCGAAACAUAGACAUUUCUGAAAACAGGAAAUUUAUUGAAAUGAGUACUGAUUUUCUUUUUUUAUUUUAUAAUAUUUAUAAUUUUCAAGUAAAAUAAUAAGACUUUUUAAUUAUAUAU